CAACCAGUCUCUCCAGACUUGCUUUGGUUUCCCUGCUGAGCCUCAGAGCAGGGUAAAGCACUCCACACAGCCCUGGGACACGUUUCAGAUGUUGGGUGAUGAGACCCCUCUACAAGCUGUUCCUGUUGCCAUGCCUUCCCCACAACAAUGGGCUGUGUCCCCUCAAACUAUGAGCCAGUGCACAACCUUUCUUCUUGUGAUGACACAUUAUGAUAUAACGUCCCUGUGAUGAAAUGGAGGUGAGUGACAGACAUCGUGGUAUAGUAAUGGGCCACUAUGUGGGGG